UCCGGGAUAGCUCAAUAGCAGAGUUCGCGGCUGUUAACCGCGUCGUUGUAGGUUCAAGUCCUACUCCCGGAGCCA
rnacentral:tRNA from 1 species